rnacentral:lncRNA from 1 species
UAAACGACUAAGUUAAUGCUUAUGCCAAUUUAAAAAUGGCCGAGCUUGCACUGGAGUUCAGGGUGAAGAGUAUGAUCAAGAAACCUGAGAGAACCAGAAGAGUUUUGCAGCCUCCGUUUUGGCCAAACAGGAUGUCGGUAUCCAAACGGUCACCUACCAUGCAUAUCUGAGAUGUUGUAAUGCCAAAUCUGCAUCAAAGAAGAUGAAAGGUUAAACCUCUCAUAACUAAUCUUGACACUCAGCUGCCUGAUUCAUACUUUCUUCCAUGCAGAUUUCUGGAAACAGAUGCAUGGAGUUGGAUUACUGCUGCUGGGUCUUACUUCUUUGCCAGGUAAUCCAUCAUGAAUGUUGAUGGCUUCCCAACAACAAGCGGU